rnacentral:rRNA from 1 species
UACGUAGGUGGCAAGCGUUGUCCGGAUUUACUGGGCGUAAAGGGCGCGUAGGCGGCCACCGCAAGUCGACUGUGAAAUCUCCGGGCUUAACUCGGAACGGUCAAGUGAUACUGUCGGGCUAGAGUGCAGAAGGGGCAACUGGAAUUCUCGGUGUAGCGGUGAAAUGCGUAGAUAUCGAGAGGAACACCUGCGGCGAAGGCGGGUUGCUGGGCUGACACUGACGCUGAGGCGCGAAAGCCAGGGGAGCGAACGGG